rnacentral:rRNA from 1 species
UUAGCGGAAACGAUGGAGCUUGCUCCAGGCGUCGAGCGGCGGACGGGUGAGUAAUGCAUAGGAAUCUGCCCGGUAGUGGGGGAUAACCUGGGGAAACCCAGGCUAAUACCGCAUACGUCCUACGGGAGAAAGCAGGGGCUCUUCGGACCUUGCGCUAUCGGAUGAGCCUAUGUCGGAUUAGCUCGUUGGUGAGGUAAUGGCUCACCAAGGCGACGAUCCGUAGCUGGUCUGAGAGGAUGAUCAGCCACAUCGGGACUGAGACACGGCCCGAACUCCUACGGGAGGCAGCAGUGGGGAAUAUUGGACAAUGGGCGCAAGCCUGAUCCAGCCAUGCCGCGUGUGUGAAGAAGGCUUUCGGGUUGUAAAGCACUUUCAGUGAGGAAGAACGCCUUGGGGCUAAUACCCCCGAGGAAGGACAUCACUCACAGAAGAAGCACCGGCUAACUCCGUGCCAGCAGCCGCGGUAAUACGGAGGGUGCGAGCGUUGAUCGGAAUUACUGGGCGUAAAGCGCGCGUAGGCGGCGUGACAAGCCGGUUGUGAAAGCCCCGGGCUCAACCUGGGAACGGCAUCCGGAACUGUUAGGCUAGAGUGCAGGAGUGGAAGGUAGAAUUCCCGGUGUAGCGGUGAAAUGCGUAAAGAUCGGGAGGAAUACCAGUGGCGAAGGCGGCCUUCUGGACUGACACUU